ACCACUAAUAUUUCUAUUCAAAGAGCGAUCCAAGCCCUGUGCCAGAAUAGAACGCUGGGUAUUGCGUCUACAGACAUACAACUUUGAAGUGGUAUACGAACCAGGAACGAACAAUUUAGCCGAUGCGCUUUCCCGAUUGUCUGUGACUAACCCGGUGGCUUACAGACCUUCGGAUGAAGAUUGUAUACUGCAGUUGACCUUAUGUGGAUUUCCUUGUGCCGUAUCAGUUGAAGAAGUCCAGACAGAGACCGAAAAAGAUCCAAAUCUACAAGCCGUUCAACAAAGUUUAGAAACAGGGAUUUGGAAUGAAAUGUCUAAGGAAUUUAAACCUUUCAGCUCAGAGUUGUGUCGUGUUCAAAACUUACUGCUAAGAGGAGAUAGGCUAGUCAUUCCGGAAUCACUAAGAUCUCGAAUAUUGGAAAUUGCUCACGAAUCCCACACUGGAAUGGUUGUCAUGAAGAGAAGACUCCGUCAGAAGGUAUGGUGGCCACAGAUGGAUAAGAAAGUUGGGGCAUUCGUAAAAAAAUGUAAGAAUUGUACAUUAGUAUCAACACCAAACCCUCCGGAGCCGUUGAACAGGACCAAAUUGCCAGAAAAUGCUUGGGCUGAUCUUGCCGUCGAUUUCGUUGGGCCACUUCCGUCCGGUCAUAACCUCUUGGUGAUUAUUGACUAUUUCAGUCGUUUCACAGAGGUCAUCAUUAUGAAGCAAAUUACAGCACAAUUGACAGUGAAGGCACUGCAUGAGACAUUUUGCCGUUUCGGAAUGCCCGAGUCUAUGAAAACUGAUAACGGUCCCCAAUUCGUUAGCAGUGAACUCCAGAAUUUUUGUCAACAGUUCGGCAUUCAACAUAGAAGAACAACGCCUUAUUGGCCUCAGGCUAAUGGUGAGGUGGAGAGGAUCAACCGAUGCAUUGUUAAACGAUUGAAAAUCAUUCAAACCUGAGAGAGAGAAGCCAGCUCACUGACAGAUCGUUUAUUUACUAUGUCUUCUUCUUAUUUAUUUGUGUGGAAACCGUGACAUCAAAGUAACAUUUCAUAACGUCGGAAGCAACAUUUUUCACUCCAAUAAAAACUUGUUCGAAUUAGCUGAUUUUAAUGAUUAUGAACUUCCUAACGUAGAACAAAACCUAUAUCUCAUAAUACGGGAUCAUUCACAUGGAUAAUUACGGGUUCAAUUCACUGUAACAGAUAUAAGAAAAGUUGCGAACAUAAAUUGACAAAUACAUAAUUUUGGUUACGACCAUUUGAAGUUCCAUCGCAGUGUUUACUUUUUCGGUUCGCAGUGACUGGAUCGCGGUGACAUUAGGAUGAACGUAAAUAAAGCGAGCUGUCUUCUCUCUCUCAGAGUCAAACUAAUAACUCGGAUUGGCAAUGGGAUCUUAGGACUUUCAUACUUAUGCAUAAUUCAACUCCGCACUCUACUACUGGCGUAGCACCAUCAGUAUUGCUGUUCGGAAGGAGAAUGAAAGAUAAGCUGCCUGGCUUGUUGAUAAGAGGAUCAAACAUCCUGGAGGAGAUUCGGGAUCGGGAUCAUCUGAAGAAGAUAAGAGGUGCAGAGUAUGCGGACUAUCGACGCAGUGCAAAACCAUCUGAGAUAAGUCAAGGUGAUGUAGUAGUCACAAAACGGAUACAAAAGAAAACAAGCUCUCAACGAUGUAUGACCCUGAAGAGUACACCGUUGUGGACAGAAACGGUCCAGAUAUUAAGUUGAAGUCGAAGGAAAGUGGGAAGAUAAUUCAUCGUAAUGUUUCUCACUUAAAAAAGCUUUUUUCAGGUACAAUGGAUUCCGAUAACAAUAUUGAUGAAGCAGAUGUUACAGAGGGCGUCGAAGAACCAACACAAAUCAAUCCGAACCUAACAUCAACAAAUGAAAAUGAAGCUGUCACAGAAAACAUCAGGUAUAGAGAUCUCUCGAAAACCAGACUAGAUGAGGGAGUAACCUCAGGGGUAACGUCUCGAGCUAAAAGAGAAGUUAGGCAACCAUUGUACUUUAAGGAUUAUAAGAUUGGCACAAUCAAUCAAUUUUGAGGAAGGGAGAGAUGUAGUAUCGGUCCCACCAUUUCUAUUACAUUUGUUUUGUAUAAAUAAUAAUAUACCUGAGUAGAGAUACACUUUGACAUCCUUACAUGGGUGCCGAGAUACAUAUGUCCCUAAUGAAUAAAGAAGAUUGUCUUUUGAUCUACCAACGCGACUAGACGUGUUUAGUUGGAUAUCCGAAACGACGCGAUUCUACAAUAAUCAGAGGAAUUCUCGGAGGAACUGCCGGUGGAACUUCUGGAGGAAUUUAUUGAAGAACUACAGGAAGAAUUUGUUGGAAAUAGAUUUAGUGUGCAACCGUCACCCCUCGUAAUCAAGACAACUUUUAUGCUCAGGCCAGACGAACACACUGUGGUUGUGUUGUCGAAUAUUAUUGUUUAUAUUUUUAUUUAUGUUGUUGAAUAAAUUGUAUUCGUUCGAGUGAAGUUCGAGUAAAACGAUGCGGCGCCUGGAACGGCCAGUGGAAGUAAGAAUAGAUAGUGCCGAAGGAGAACCCAUGAAGGAGGAAUACCAGUAUGUAUCGAUGGUGCUUACGGCUAGGAGGGGCCUGGGGACUAGGAGGGGCCUGUUUGAUUAUGACUAGUGCAGAUGCAAAAGAAAGACUCAAAUGAAGAAGAGUAAGUUUUAAGAAGGGAAUUAAUAUUAAGGAAGAGCUAGAAAGAAAAGUAUUCUGAAAUUUAUUUUGUUUAACUUGAAGAUCAAGUUGUCGAAAGUUGGACUAGCAUUGUUAGGAUCUGUGAUAUUUGUUACUGUGAUACUCAGGUUGUCGGCUUGAGGAGGGGUGUUGGAAAUAGAUUUAGUGUGCAACCGUCACCCCUCGUAAUCAAGACAACUUUUAUGCUCAGGCCAGACGAACACACUGUGGUUGUGUUGUCGAAUAUUAUUGUUUAUAUUUUUAUUUAUGUUGUUGAAUAAAUUGUAUUCGUUCGAGUGAAGUCCAA